CAGAGGUCCUCAGACUCGCCUCCAGCGCCUGCCAUUAGGGGCGACUUUAUUUACAGACACUAUUUAGGGGAUCAUGAUGAUUCUAAAACAAUACUAGUGCCAAAUGAUUAUGAAAAUAUGAUUUUAAUUAAUCACGUAGUAGGCAGAGGAAAUUAGCAUACGGUAAUUAAACUCGGGGAGAGAGAGAGAAAAAAAAAAAGAGAAAAAAAAAAAACCACGUCACUUGCAGGUUCUCUGCCUUACCGAUGGAUACCAGGCACCACCAGUCGCCAGGCGGUGGGCUCCAGGACUUAAUUACCCGACAAAAUAACUUUUUUUAAGGCAACUUUGCAAAAGGCACUGUGGUCGCAAGAGGCAGACGUGGGGUUUUUUUUGUUGUUGUUGUUUUAUUUUUUGGUUUUUUGGGUUUGUUUUUUUUUUUUAAGUAAAUAAGGCCAGCCGGCCAAGGUAUCAAAGUGGGGGCUUGAGCCUGAGUCAGGCGUGAGGUUUUGGGUUUCUCCUGAAGCCAGACUGGGGGUGGGGGAGAGAAGGGGGGUGCAGGCUGAAUAAUGCAAUUAUGGAUUCUCUGUCCUGGAGUUGACAAAAGCUGGUGCCUCAAAAGCCUCUUUGUUAUGGGAUUAUAUAAUGAUCCUGGUGUCAUUAUGGGGAGAAAAGACUCAGUAAUAAUAAUAACAGUAAAAGAAGUAUCCAGAGAAUCCCCCCGGGAGGGGCUUGUUGUGAAGGGGAAAAAAAGGCCUGGCAUGUGACACUCAGUGGGGAGUGUUAAUAGCAGAAAGACAGGAUCCGAAAGAGUUGAUAAAUAAAGGGGGAGACGGGGAGAGAAAGAAAGAGAAAGAGAGAGAGAGAGAGAGAGAAGCCUGGGUAGCACAGGAUUAAGAAGCUGAUGGAGACAGGUUGAUUAUUCAAAGCGCCAAGCCACAGGGACACCUAAACGCUGCCCCAGAAAUUAGCAUCGCAAUCACAUCAAUGGUGUCACUAUCUCUAUGGGAAUGAUCGCCGGAGCAGUGGGGUGUGCUUUAUUCCAAUUCUUCUUCGUGGAUCAACUGAUUAUACUCUGUCGUCUUUUGAACCUGUUAUUGAUUUCCUGGCGUCCUCCCCUGGCUCGGCCCUGCCAAGAACUGUCUCCUCUUUCUCCAACUCUGAAAUAUUUGUCACCGCUCCUGCCCGGCCCGGCCAGGGCUGCACCUGUGGCUGGAUUGGCAGCCUCCAGUCCGGUUCCCAAGUGCAGGAGCCCUGAGCUCCCAGUCCCCAUGGGUGACUCCAACUGCAGCCACUGCCCGCCUGAGAUGCUCCGACCCACCCUUCGCUGGCUCCUCCUGUAUCUUCCAGGUGCUAGCAGAGAGGUUGAACGGCCGGAGAACUGUAGUGUCCGUCCCCACACGGGGAGAUCAGAGCAGGCAGCUUUCGGGGACCAUCGAGAGGAGACUGAGAGCAGUGUGAACAGCACUGAGGUCAGGACAGAGACAGAGAAAUGGUCCUGGCCACCCUGUCUGAGUGCUGGAUCCAGCCACGCCUGAAGCCAGCACCACCCUGCACCCUUCUGGUGUGGAAGCAGAUAAAUUUCCCUUAACGUGAUUCAGUUUGCUUUGGGUCUCCUGUCACCUGCCAACACAAUGAGACCUGAUGUACUUAGCACUUGACAUGAAUAAGGAACACCUGGGCCAGGGACCAGAGAGCUCAAAAACAAGAUUGGAACCGCGUGGUGGAAAAGCAAAGCAUGGCCCGGGCGCGGUGGCUCACGCCUGUCAUCCCAGCACUCUGGGAGGCCGAGGCGGGAGGAUGGC